GAAAGUUGCUUUGCACUACCAGAGCCGAGAGAGAAGAAAGCCCUAGAAGGGACCUUUCCCCCCAUUCCUGAGGAGUCAGCAUUAUAUCCAUCAUUCAUAGCUGACGAUUUCUUCAUUUGUAACGACGGUGUGACAAUUCCUGCUGAGUGGCAUUGCGAUGUAAUUGUCGAUUGCACGGACGGGGAGGACGAGACCGAUUGUGUCAAUGAGAGAGAUGCCAGCCAAGACGCCCCUGACGCAAGGCGACGGGGCUACUUCGCAAAGAGAUUUGCCAAAAGACAGGGUUCCGUCAACCAACAGGGCAACCCCUAUGCAAAGAGAUUUGCCAAAAGACAGGGUUCCGUCAACCAACAGGGCAACGUCUAUGCAAAGAGAUUUGCCAAAAGACAGGGUUCCGUCAACCAACAGGGCAACGUCUAUGCAAAGAGAUUUGCCAAAAGACAGGGCGCCCCCAACUAAGAGAGAUUCACCAACAGACAGCCCUUAUAUCAACAAUCCGGAAAGUAAAUCGAAACUUAAAGAACUACAACACGCCUGAUCAAUGAAAACGCCAACAUCGAUGAGUAAUGUACAGUAAAAAAAAAAGAAAAAAAAAAAAAGAAUUAGCUUAAUAAAAACUACCGGUAAUAAGUUACAGAUAGAGUAGCCAUCUCGUUAAAACGUAAUAAUUUUAAAAUUACUUAUAUUCGCUUAUAAUUCCAGUUUCCUUUUGUUGCUUUGUUUAAGCCAAACAAUCGUCUUAUUUAUCCUUUAGUCUGUUCAUUUGUGGAAUAAUACUAAUCCUCUUCCGUUCUCCCAUCUCUCAUUUCUAUUCAAAAUCAUUAUUUAGAUUGACCGCACCCUCUUGAUUGCACGCGGUCCUUAAUUUUUUUUUUCUGGUGGUCGCAAUUUUGGCAGUCCUCUCUCUUUGCCAGUCCUAUCUUAUGAAAUUCAAACCAAUAUGAGCUCUUGGAGCAGCUUAUUGCAUGAACAGGGUUCCUUGCCAAUUUCCUUUUAAUUGUUGUGUGCGUUAUACGUUUUACACUGAAGACACCUUCAUCUUAUAAUAUUUUCCUUCUUUGUAUUUUCUUCUCAUUACAAACGUGUUCCGCCGGUUUCAAGCCUUACUUGACUAGAAGACAAUGACGUAUAUAUACUUAAACAAUCUAAUUAUACUCAUAACUAUGAAAUUAAUAAAACAAUUUGGUGUUUGGCCAUGUGAUUGAUUACACAGAACAAAGGAUUUUUUCAUUUUUCUCCUUGAUUUCGGUAAAUGUCAAAUACGAAACCAAUGUGAAAAUAAAGAUGUAAAAAGGGGUGUCAAUAUUAUGUGACACUUCAUCAAACUUUUUACCGCGAUCGGUGAAAUUGAAUGAACAAUACCAAUCUUUUCUUUAACUUGAAUGAAAUGAUUUGUUUGGUAAAUUCUCAGCUGAUGAAAUGAUUCUUUAUGAAGAUUGAAUGCUGAUUUAUGAGGGAACAUUUUUUUUCAAAUUAAAUUGAAAUGGAUUGGAAAAUACAGUAUUAGUUAUAAAGAUACGUUCCUCAUAAUGAUCUAACAUACACUUUUUAUUAUUAUCAAGAUAACCCGAGUCUAUCAAAACCUAUCAUUAUUUUUAGACACCUGACUUUGAAGACUCGGAAAACACGGUGCCUUUUGGUGGUAUGCAGUAAAAACCUCACAUUUUAGGCAGGCCGAAUAUAUAAUACGCAGGGAAAAUCAACUUAAGAGUAACUUCUUCAGAUGGGUGUAAUAGUUUGACGUUGUAUGUCAUGCCUUAUGCUGUGUUAUAUAUGAACAUCUUUACUCCUAGAAA